rnacentral:rRNA from 1 species
GACGAACGCUGGCGGCGGGCUUAACACAUGCAAGUCGAACGGAAAGGCCCUGCUUUCGUGCGGUGCUCGAGUGGCGAACGGGUGAGUAACACGAGAGUAACCUGCCCUAGACUUUGGGAUAACUUCAGGUAACUGGGGCUAAUACCGGAUAGGAGCUCCUGCUGCAUGGUGGGGGUGGGAUAGUUUCGGCGGUUGGGGCUGGACUGGCGGCUUACCAGCUUGUUGGUGGGGUAGUGGCUUACCAAGGCUGUGACGGGUAGCCGGCCUGAGAGGGUGACCGGCCACAUUGGGACUGAGAUACGGCGCAGACUCGUACGGUAGGCAGCGGUGGGAAAUAUUGCACAAUGGGAGGGAGCCUGAGGCAGCAACGCCGCGGUCGGGAUGACGGCCUUCGGGUUGUGAACCGCAUCCGCCUGAGACGAAGCGUGAGUGACGGUAAUGGGUGAAGAAGCACCGGCUAACUACGUG